GUGGGGAAUUUUGGACAAUGGGCGCAAGCCUGAUCCAGCAAUGCCGCGUGCAGGAAGAAGGCCUUCGGGUUGUAAACUGCUUUUGUACGGAACGAAACGGUCCGGGUUAAUACCCUGGGCUAAUGACGGUACCGUAAGAAUAAGCACCGGCUAACUACGUGCCAGCAGCCGCGGUAAUACGUAGGGUGCGAGCGUUAAUCGGAAUUACUGGGCGUAAAGCGUGCGCAGGCGGUGCUGUAAGACAGGCGUGAAAUCGCCGGGCUCAACCUGGGAAUUGCGCUUGAGACUGCAGUGCUGGAGUGCGGCAGAGGGGGGUGGAAUUCCGCGUGUAGCAGUGAAAUGCGUAGAUAUGCGGAGGAACACCGAUGGCGAAGGCAAUCCCCUGGGCCUGCACUGACGCUCAUGCACGAAAGCGUGGGGAGCAAACAGGAUUAGAAACCCCGGUAGUCC
rnacentral:rRNA from 1 species